rnacentral:rRNA from 1 species
AUUGAACGCUGGCGGCAGGCCUAACACAUGCAAGUCGAGCGCGAGGCGGGCGGGGGAGUAAUAUCUGGGAAACUGCCUGAUGGGGGGGGAGACCUCCAGGGAACGGUGGCACAUACCGCAUACCAUCAGAUGUGCGCCGAUGGGGGUGGCUAGUAGGUGGGGUACAGGCUCACCUAGGCGACGAUCCCUAGCUGGUCUGAGAGGAUGACCAGCCACACUGGAACUGAGACACGGUCCAGACUCCUACGGGAGGCAGCAGUGGGGAAUAUUGCACAAUGGGCGCAAGCCUGAUGCAGCCAUGCCGCGUGUGUGAAGAAGGCCUUCGGGUUGUAAAGCACUUUCAGCGGGGAGGCGUUACCCGCAGAAGAAGCACCGGCUAACUCCGUGCCAGCAGCCGCGGUAAUAC